UAGCGGUAGAAGGAAGCUUGCUUCCUUUGAGAGCGGCGGACGGGUGAGUAAUGCCUAGGAAUCUGCCUGGUAGUGGGGGAUAACGUGACGCUAAUACCGCAUACGUCCUACGGGAGAAAGUGGGGGAUCUUCGGACCUCACGCUAUCAGAUGAGCCUAGGUCGGAUUAGCUUGUUGGGUAAUGGCUCACCAAGGCGACGAUCCGUAUGAGAGGAUGAUCAGUCACACUGGAACUGAGACCAGACUCCUACGGGAGGCAGCAGUGGGGAAUAUUGGACAAUGGGCGCAAGCCUGAUCCAGCCAUGCCGCGUGUGUGAAGAAGGUCUUCGGAUUGUAAAGCACUUUAAGUUGGGAGGAUAGCCUAAUACGCUGCAACUUUGACGUUACCGACAGAAUAAGCACCGGCUAACUCUGUGCCAGCAGCCGCCAGAGGGUGCAAGCGUUAAUCGGAAUUACUGGGCGUAAAGCGCGCGUAGGUGGCGAAGUAAGAUGGGUGUGAAAUCCCCGGGCUCAACCUGGGAACUGCAUCCAUAACUGCUUGGCUAGAGUACGGUAGAGGGUAGUGGAAUUUCCUGUGUAGCGGUGAAAUGCGUAGAUAUCACCAGUGGCGAACCUGGACUGAUACUGACACUGAGGUGCGAAAGCGUGAGCAAACAGGAUUAGAUACCCUGGUAGUCCACGCCGUAAACGAUGUCAACUAGCCGUUGGAAUCCUUGAGAUUUUAGUGGCGCAGCUAACGCACUAAGUUGACCGCCUGGGGAGUACGGUCGCAAGAUUAAAACUCAAAUGAAUUGACGGGGGCCCGCACAAGCGGUGGAGCAUGUGGUUUAAUUCGAAGCAACGCGAAGAACCUUACCUGGCCUUAGAACUUUCCAGAGAUGGAUUGGUGCCUUCGGGAGAGACACAGGUGCUGCAUGGCUGUCGUCAGCUCGUGUCGUGAGAUGUUGGGUUAAGUCCCGUAACGAGCGCAACCCUUGUCCUUAGUUACCAGCACGUUAUGGUGGGCACACUGCCGGUGACAAACCGGAGGAAGGUGGGGAUGACGUCAAGUCAUCAUGGCCCUUACGGCCAGGGCUACACACGUGCUACAAUGGGGGGUACAGAGGGUUGCCAAGCCGCGAGGUGGAGCUAAUCCCGAAAAGCCUCUCGUAGUCCGGAUUGGAGUCUGCAACUCGACUCAAGUCGGAAUCGCUAGUAAUCGCGAAUCGGUGAAUACGUUCCCGGGCCUUGUACACACCGCCCGUCACACCAUGGGAGUGGGUUGCACCAGUCUAACCUUCGGGAGGACGGUAC
rnacentral:rRNA from 1 species